AAAUUGAAGAGUUUGAUCAUGGCUCAGAUUGAACGCUGGCGGCAGGCCUAACACAUGCAAGUCGAGCGGUAGCACAGAGAGCUUGCUCUCGGGUGACGAGCGGCGGACGGGUGAGUAAUGUCUGGGAAACUGCCUGAUGGAGGGGGAUAACUACUGGAAACGGUAGCUAAUACCGCAUAACGUCGCAAGACCAAAGAGGGGGACCUUCGGGCCUCUUGCCAUC
rnacentral:rRNA from 1 species